UGAAGAUAGAAUUUCUUCGAAAAGUCGAUCCAUUUAACUAGGUGCAUAUAUAUAUAUAUAUACAUAGAUAAGAUAAUAAAGUGCAGAAUCCAGGUGUAUCUGUUUGAUCGAGAAAUUUCAAUGUGACACAAUUCGUGGUUUAGGCGACGUUCUCUACCUGUUGCACGCUGCUUUCAUAGGAAAUUGCCUUACCGACAUAUUGAACAUUGUCAUUCCUGUCUAUGGACAAGCAACCUUGUGCAGAAAUCCUACCACUGCAGGAUUACAACGCCACCUUUUUCCCCCUCCUCCUCUAUCGUUAUCGGUCUCGGUGUGUAUGAUAAAGCAUAACACUCGUUGCUCUCAUUUUUAUACGUAUUUGCACCUGCCAUGCAGCAAUUUAUCAUCAUACCCUUUAAAGAUUAUUGUGCUCGACGAUAUUGUUCCAAUCAUUUAAUUUUGUAAACGUGAUAUGGAAAAUAUUUGGAAAGUGAUCUUUAUGAUCCCUCUUCUCGAUUAUUUAUCUUUUAAAAGUUUAAAAAUUGUGUUUCUAAAAAAAAAAAAAUAACGAGGAUAUUUUUUUAUUCUAUCUAGUGUGAAAUUAUUCUACGUUUGAGGAAUUGAAUUAUUAUAUAAACAUGGAGAUCAGAAAAGGGGUCGCUGUUUCUCGAUUUCUCGAUUUUUCCAAGAAUUUUUUUUUUUUUGGAAAGGAAAAUUAGAUCACGAAGAAAUUCUGAGGAAUAUUUCGUAGAAUUAAUUUUCUUCUAGUCUGCGUGCCCUGAAAAGAAGAAGAACAAAAAAAGGAGUUAUUUUGAUCAAAAGAGAAAAGUUGUGGAAAUGGUGCAACGAAAUCAACAAAUUUUCAUCCCCCUAACUCUUGAUUACUUUCGUCGAGGCAAAGAAAAAUCCUCUCUCGAUUUGUCCAAUAUCUUAAUUAAGAGAGAACUAUUCAUCCAUUAGAAAUCUCAGGACGUAAUAUCAGAAUUGAUAUAAUUCCCGACUUCCUUUUCAUCGAAAAUUGAAUUGGUCCCAAUAAUAUACGAAAUUUUGUAAUCGAGAUAGAAAAACUUAAAAUUCCAAGGAUCAAAUUUUCCAAUUUUCUUAAUUUUCUCGAAUAUAUUUCAACCAGGAAGUUGAAGAAACGAAACCAGGCUAUUCUAAAUUUUUCUCUCGUUCCAUUUCUUUUUAUGAUUCUUUCUUUACCUUCAAAAAAGAAGAGAUCAACAUUAAUACUAAUAUACAACGAUCUUUGACGUUAAAAAGAAAAAAAAAAUUUCGUCUUUUCAAAAGACGUUCACACGUCUUGUUGUUUCACACGUUUCGUUCUAAUAUGAACGCGCAUCGCGUCAGGGAAAUUAAUUCUGCUUCGUAGAAGGAUACUAAGUGUCUACCUGUUGCACCACGCUGUCAGACGAAGUGGUCUCGAUCGUUUUUCGAGAAUCGCGAAAGUGAAGGGAGAAAUAGGCAGAAAGAUAGAGAAAGAAAAGAAAAGAAGGAGAGAGAGAGAAAGAGAGAGAGAGAGAGAGCACUUGGCGAAUGAAAAAUUUUACGCGUCUACGCGUAGGAAGAAACCUACUGGUACGUCGCAACUUGUUGCUGGUCGCUCAGAGAUCUCUCCACUUCUCGAUUUCCGGUGACGCCUCUUGCACACAGAUGCUGUGGGAAGAGAAUUUUCAUCGUAUCCUCGUUCUUGGAUGAUCGAUCGUUUAUAUAUAUUGUGAUAUUUUGUGAACGAUUGAAAUUUACCUGUGGACACCAGUUACCCAAUUAUGAUUUGUUGCAAAAUGAAAUCAACAUCAUGGAAUAUUAACUCGAACAUUUAUGCUAAAUCGUUAUAGAUGUCGUCAAUUUGGAUCACGUUUUACAUCAGGAAAAUCGGCUCGAUAAAAAAAGUUGUAUCCAGAUUUCGAGGGUUGUAAAAUGGUUAAGAGAAGCGGACGGACAAUUGGAGCACGAAACGGAACAAUAAAGAUAUGAUGCGUGGGAUGAUGUGCAGUGAAAUAAAAGAAUAUGUGAGAAUAUGUGAGAAAACGAUUUUGUGAAAUCAAGCUCUUUUGAUAAAUUUCAAUUUCAUUUUAUGACUGUAUAUAUACACAUGAUAUUUUCUCAUGAUGAUAAUAACGAUGUAAUAAAAAGAUAAUAUAAU